rnacentral:miRNA from 1 species
CACUGUGGAUCUUGUCCUAUAC